rnacentral:lncRNA from 1 species
UUGUUCUUUCGCUUUUUGGGUCCACGCUGCGUUUGUGAGCUGUAACACCGUGAAGGUCUGCAGCUUCACUCCUGAAGUCAGGCGAGAAGACUACGAACCCACCUGGAGGAACGAACAACUCCAGACUCGCCGCAUUAAGAGCGGUAACACCGCGAAGGUCUGCAGCUUCACUCCUGAGCCAGCGAGAUCACGAACCCACCGGAAGGCUGUAACAUAUCUGAACAUCAGAAGGAACAAACUCCGGACAGGCCGCCUUCAGGAACUGUAACACUCACCGCGAGGGUCCGUAGCUUCAUUCUUGAAGUCAGUGAGACCAAGAGCCCACCAAUUCCGGACACAACAGGACACACUGCGGCUUCUCCUGGCUUUUUCAAAGUUCAGCCCAAGAGGAAGAGAGACCUAAUUAAUACCCAGGAGAUGGUGGUGUUUAUUUUUUCCAGCUGGGACAACUAAGGCCCCGAGAGGAGAAAGGGACUAUCCGGGGUACAGAGGCCACUGAGUCAGAGCUAGGACCAACAUAUCACCAGCUCUCCCUCUUCAGCGCAGACCCCAACUCACCAGCGGUGGCUUCCUGAAGAGCUGGGUUAAGGAGGAUUCUGAGGUGCAGCAGAGCUCGCUAAGAGGCUGACGGGUAAGGGGUGCUGCGCUGUGAGCACAGGAGCCAGUGACACAGAUCAGAUGCUGCUGCUGUCGUGGCUGCCACCACAAGAAACAAGAGUGUUGGAGUGCAAAUUCAUUAUCCAGCUGUUAAGAGCGACAGAGCAUGCACACAUCUCUCCCCGACCGGGUUAUCUGAGAGCCAGCCCUGCUGUAUGAUUGAGUGGCUGCCAGCCUCCUCUUCUCUGUAACCUUGACACGCCAGAGCCGGGCCUCCAG